UAUGCGUUCUCUUCUUAGUUAGCUCAAUAUAGCAAUUAACCGAUCGCAAUAGCAGAGGAACUCUCAUGGCUCCUGUGGUACCCAGAUCCGGAGACGCCAUUUUCGCCAACGUCGAACGAGUGAACGCAGAGCUUUUCACUCUAACGUAUGGAGCAAUCGUGCGCCAACUGCUGACUGAUCUGGAGGAGGUUGAUGAGGUCAAUAAACAGCUCGAUCAAAUGGGUUAUAAUAUAGGAAUCAGGCUCAUAGACGAGUUUCUGGCAAAGUCUAAUGUUUCAAGGUGUGUUGAUUUCAAGGAGACAGCUGAAGUCAUUGCCAA
rnacentral:misc_RNA from 1 species